GGAGUACUCCCUCCGUCCGGAAAUACUUGUCAUCAAAAUGAAUAAAAGGGGAUGUAUCUAGAUGUAUAUUAGUUCUAGAUACAUCUCUUUUUAUCCAUUUUGAUGACAAGUAUUUUCGGACGGAGGGAGUACAAA
rnacentral:pre_miRNA from 1 species